UACGGGGGGAGCAAGCGUUGUUCGGAUUUACUGGGCGUAAAGCGCGCGCAGGCGGUCCUUCAAGUCAGAGGUGAAAGCCCAGAGCUCAACUCUGGAAUGGCCUUUGAGACUAGAGGACUUGGGUACGGGAGAGGUGAGUGGAAUUCCGAGUGUAGAGGUGAAAUUCGUAGAUAUUCGGAAGAACACCAGUGGCGAAGGCGGCUCACUGGCCCGUUACCGACGCUCAGGCGCGACAGCGUGGGGAGCAAACAGG
rnacentral:rRNA from 1 species